AUUGAACGCUGGCGGCAGGCCUAACACAUGCAAGUCGAGCGGUUGACGGGAGCUUGCUCCCUGAUUCAGCGGCGGACGGGUGAGUAAUGCCUAGGAAUCUGCCUAUUAGUGGGGGACAACGUUUCGAAAGGAACGCUAAUACCGCAUACGUCCUACGGGAGAAAGCAGGGGUCCUUCGGGCCUUGCGCUAAUAGAUGAUCCUAGGUGGGAUUAGCUAGUUGGUGAGGUAAUGGCUCACUAAGGCGACGAUCCGUAACUGGUCUGAGCGGAUGAUAAGUCAAACUGGAACUGAGACACGGUCCAGACUCCUACGGGAGGCAGCAGUGGGAAAUAUUGGACAAUGGGCGAAAGCCUGAUCCAGCCAUGCCGCGUGUGUGAAGAAGGUCUUCGGAUUGUAAAGCACUUUAAGUUGGGAGGAAGGGUUGUAGAUUAAUACUCUGCAAUUUUGACGUUACCGACAGAAUAAGCACCGGCUAACUCUGUGCCAGCCGCCGCCGUAACAC
rnacentral:rRNA from 1 species